AUUGAACGCUGGCGGCAGGCCUAACACAUGCAAGUCGAACGAGUGGCGGACGGGUGAGUAAUGUCUGGGAAACUGCCUGAUGGAGGGGGAUAACUACUGGAAACGGUAGCUAAUACCGCAUACCCUCGGAUGUGCCCAGAUGGGGUUUGCUAGUAGGUGGGGUAAAGGCUCACCUAGGCGACGAUCCCUAGCUGGUCUGAGAGGAUGACCAGCCACACUUGAACUGGGACACGGUCCAGACUCCGAGUUGAGGCAGCAGUGGGGAAUAUUGCACAAUGGACGCAAGCCUGAUGCAGCCAUGCCGCGUGUAUGAAGAAGGCCUUCGGUUUGUAAAGUACUUUCAGCGGGGAGGCGUUACCCGCAGAAGAAGCACAGGCUAACUCCGUGCCAGCAGCCGCGGUAAUUC
rnacentral:rRNA from 1 species